rnacentral:rRNA from 1 species
CUACCAUGCAAGUCGAACGGUGAACCGGAGCUUGCUCUGUGGGAUCAGUGGCGAACGGGUGAGUAACACGUGAGCAACCUGCCCCUGACUCUGGGAUAAGCGCUGGAAACGGCGUCUAAUACUGGAUAUGUGACGUGACCGCAUGGUCUGCGUCUGGAAAGAAUUUCGGUUGGGGAUGGGCUCGCGGCCUAUCAGCUUGUUGGUGAGGUAAUGGCUCACCAAGGCGUCGACGGGUAGCCGGCCUGAGAGGGUGACCGGCCACACUGGGACUGAGACACGGCCCAGACUCCUACGGGAGGCAGCAGUGGGGAAUAUUGCACAAUGGGCGCAAGCCUGAUGCAGCAACGCCGCGUGAGGGACGACGGCCUUCGGGUUGUAAACCUCUUUUAGCAGGGAAGAAGCGAAAGUGACGGUACCUGCAGAAAAAGCGCCGGCUAACUACGUGCCAGCAGCCGCGGUAAUACGUAGGGCGCAAGCGUUAUCCGGAAUUAUUGGGCGUAAAGAGCUCGUAGGCGGUUUGUCGCGUCUGCUGUGAAAUCCGGAGGCUCAACCUCCGGCCUGCAGUGGGUACGGGCAGACUAGAGUGCGGUAGGGGAGAUUGGAAUUCCUGGUGUAGCGGUGGAAUGCGCAGAUAUCAGGAGGAACACCGAUGGCGAAGGCAGAUCUCUGGGCCGUAACUGACGCUGAGGAGCGAAAGGGUGGGGAGCAAACAGGCUUAGAUACCCUGGUAGUCCACCCCGUAAACGUUGGGAACUAGUUGUGGGGUCCAUUCCACGGAUUCCGUGACGCAGCUAACGCAUUAAGUUCCCCGCCUGGGGAGUACGGCCGCAAGGCUAAAACUCAAAGGAAUUGACGGGGACCCGCACAAGCGGCGGAGCAUGCGGAUUAAUUCGAUGCAACGCGAAGAACCUUACCAAGGCUUGACAUAUACGAGAACGGGCCAGAAAUGGUCAACUCUUUGGACACUCGUAAACAGGUGGUGCAUGGUUGUCGUCAGCUCGUGUCGUGAGAUGUUGGGUUAAGUCCCGCAACGAGCGCAACCCUCGUUCUAUGUUGCCAGCACGUAAUGGUGGGAACUCAUGGGAUACUGCCGGGGUCAACUCGGAGGAAGGUGGGGAUGACGUCAAAUCAUCAUGCCCCUUAUGUCUUGGGCUUCACGCAUGCUACAAUGGCCGGUACAAAGGGCUGCAAUACCGCGAGGUGGAGCGAAUCCCAAAAAGCCGGUCCCAGUUCGGAUUGAGGUCUGCAACUCGACCUCAUGAAGUCGGAGUCGCUAGUAU